AAGUCGUAACAAGGUUUCCGUAGGUGAACCUGCGGAAGGAUCAUUACCGAGUGGCGUGGUUCUCGCGAGAGACCAGUUACCCGACCUUUUGUCAACUCGCUCCGGCGCCUGGCGACAGGCGACCGGUAUAACAUAACUUCGGCGGAGGUGGUAGGCGUUGCUGGCGAUGCUUCGUGGCUCGCCCGUCUUGCGAAGCACGUGUGACGGUACCAGAGAUGGGACGUUGCGGGCGGAACGAGCGGGGCGGAGCGGCGUGAGCGGAGGCGCGACCUGCCCGCCGUCGGUGGCAUUUCCCAACUCUUGUGAGAAUCUGAAGUCUGAAGCAAACACCAAAACGAAAAGCAAAACUUUCAACAACGGAUCUCUUGGCUCUG
rnacentral:misc_RNA from 1 species